rnacentral:rRNA from 1 species
AACUAACGCUGGCGGCGCGUCUUAAACAUGCAAGUCGAACGGUAGCCAUUGAGCUUGCUUAGUGGUGAGAGUGGCGAACGGGUGAGUAACACGUGAAUAAUCUGCCUCCGGGGUGGGGAUAACGUUCCGAAAGGAACGCUAAUACCGAAUAAGAUGGUAGGUGCAUAAGCACUAGCCAUUAAAGGUGGGGACCGCAAGGCCUACCGCCUGGAGAUGAGUUCGCGGCUGAUUAGCUUGUUGGCGGGGUAACGGCCCACCAAGGCGACGAUCAGUAGCCGGCCUGAGAGGGUGAACGGCCACAUUGGGACUGAGAUACGGCCCAGACUCCUACGGGAGGCAGCAGUUAAGAAUCUUGCACAAUGGGGGCAACCCUGAUGCAGCGACGCCGCGUGGAUGAUGAAGUAUUUCGGUAUGUAAACUUCGAAAGAAUAGGAAGAAUAAAUGACGGUACUAUUUAUAAGGUCCGGCUAACUACGUGCCAGCAGCCG